rnacentral:rRNA from 1 species
GUAGGGAAUAUUGCGCAUUGGACGAAAGUCUGACGCAGCGACGCCGCGUGAGUGAUGAAGGCCUUAGGGUCGUAAAGCUCUGUUGAAUGGGAAGAAAAAAAUGACGGUACCAUUCGAGGAAGGACCGGCUAACUUCGUGCCAGCAGCCGCGGUAAUACGAGGGGUCCUAGCGUUGUUCGGAAUCAUUGGGCGUAAAGGGUGUGUAGGUGGCCAUGUAAGUCAGGUGUGAAAGCCCCGGUCUCAACCCGGGAAGUGCACUUGAUACUGCGUGGCUUGAGUACCGAAGAGGGUAGUGGAAUUCCAGGUGUAGUGGUGAAAUACGUAGAUAUCUGGAGGAACACCGGUGGCGAAGGCGGCUACCUGGUCGAGUACUGACACUGAGACACGAAAGCAUGGGGAUCAAACAGGAUUAGAAACCCGGGUAGUCC